AAGCUUCAGAUCUACUUCUUGGCCAGUGGAGUUAAAACCUGAAAGAAGAGUUGAUUGUGGUGGCAUGCACACUUAUAGUCAUUACUAUCGGGGAGGCUGAUACAUGGAUCAGUUGAAUUUGGGCAUUUUGAGCUGCAAGAGGACUAAACACAAUCAGCUGUCUGCAUUAAGCCUGGCAUCAAUAUGAUUUCUGAAUGGGCUCAGGCCUCCUUCACGAGUGUCCAUCUGCCAUGGAAUAUGGAACAGACCAGGUCCUGACAGACCAAACCAGGAAUUCCCCCACAGAAGCUUAGCUGACAAAGCUACUGAGGGAAGGAAGAGGACCAUGGAUUUAUAAUGUGAGGAUGAUGAUGAGGAAGAAAAGAAUGAGGAGGAUGGUGGGGGAAGUAAUAAUAAUUACUGCCCAAUAAAUAAUUCACAAGAGAA